rnacentral:rRNA from 1 species
GAUGAACGCUGGCGGCGUGCCUAAUACAUGCAAGUCGAGCGAACGGACGAGAAGCUUGCUUCUCUGAUGUUAGCGGAGGACGGGUGAGUAACACGUGGAUAACCUACCUAUAAGACUGGGAUAAUUUCGGGAAACCGGAGCUAAUACCGGAUAAUAUUUUGAACCGCAUGGUUCAAAAGAGAAAGACGGUCUUGCUGUCACUUAUAGAUGGAUACGCGCUGAAUUAGCUAGUUGGUAAGGUAAAGGCUUACCAAGGCAACGAUGCAUAGCCGACCUGUGAGGGUGAUCGGCCACCUGAGAACUGAAACACGGUCCAUACGCCUACGGGAGGCAGCAGUAGGGAAUCGUCCGCAAUGGGCGGAAGCCUGACGGAGCAACGCCGCGUGAGAUGUGGAGGUCUUCGGAUCGUAAAACUCUGUUUUUAGGUAAGAACAUAUGUGUAAGUAACUGUGCACAUCGUGACGGUACCUAAUCAGAAAGCCACGGCUAACUACGUG